UUGCAUUCUUGGUCAUGAAGCUGCUGGAAUUGUUGAAAGUGUUGGGGAAGGAGUAACUGAGGUGCAGCCUGGGGACCAUGUCAUUCCUUGUUACCAAGCAGAAUGCAGAGAAUGCAAGUUUUGCAAGAGUGGAAAGACCAACCUCUGUGGCAAAGUUCGUGCUGCCACAGGGGUCGGUGUCAUGAUGAAUGAUCGCAAGAGCCGUUUCUCAAUAAAUGGAAAACCCAUUUAUCAUUUCAUG
rnacentral:misc_RNA from 1 species